rnacentral:rRNA from 1 species
GGUUAAGCGACUAAGCGUACACGGUGGAUGCCCUGGCAGUCAGAGGCGAUGAAGGACGUGCUAAUCUGCGAUAAGCGUCGGUAAGGUGAUAUGAACCGUUAUAACCGGCGAUUUCCGAAUGGGGAAACCCAGUGUGAUUCGUCACACUAUCAUUAACUGAAUCCAUAGGUUAAUGAGGCGAACCGGGGGAACUGAAACAUCUAAGUACCCCGAGGAAAAGAAAUCAACCGAGAUUCCCCCAGUAGCGGCGAGCGAACGGGGAGCAGCCCAGAGCCUGAAUCAGUGUGUGUGUUAGUGGAAGCGUCUGGAAAGGCGCGCGAUACAGGGUGACAGCCCCGUACACAAAAAUGCACAUGCUGUGAGCUCGAUGAGUAGGGCGGGACACGUGGUAUCCUGUCUGAAUAUGGGGGGACCAUCCUCCAAGGCUAAAUACUCCUGACUGACCGAUAGUGAACCAGUACCGUGAGGGAAAGGCGAAAAGAACCCCGGCGAGGGGAGUGAAAAAGAACCUGAAACCGUGUACGUACAAGCAGUGGGAGCACGCUUAGGCGUGUGACUGCGUACCUUUUGUAUAAUGGGUCAGCGACUUAUAUUCUGUAGCAAGGUUAACCGAAUAGGGGAGCCGAAGGGAAACCGAGUCUUAACUGGGCGUUAAGUUGCAGGGUAUAGACCCGAAACCCGGUGAUCUAGCCAUGGGCAGGUUGAAGGUUGGGUAACACUAACUGGAGGACCGAACCGACUAAUGUUGAAAAAUUAGCGGAUGACUUGUGGCUGGGGGUGAAAGGCCAAUCAAACCGGGAGAUAGCUGGUUCUCCCCGAAAGCUAUUUAGGUAGCGCCUCGUGAAUUCAUCUCCGGGGGUAGAGCACUGUUUCGGCAAGGGGGUCAUCCCGACUUACCAACCCGAUGCAAACUGCGAAUACCGGAGAAUGUUAUCACGGGAGACACACGGCGGGUGCUAACGUCCGUCGUGAAGAGGGAAACAACCCAGACCGCCAGCUAAGGUCCCAAAGUCAUGGUUAAGUGGGAAACGAUGUGGGAAGGCCCAGACAGCCAGGAUGUUGGCUUAGAAGCAGCCAUCAUUUAAAGAAAGCGUAAUAGCUCACUGGUCGAGUCGGCCUGCGCGGAAGAUGUAACGGGGCUAAACCAUGCACCGAAGCUGCGGCAGCGACGCUUAUGCGUUGUUGGGUAGGGGAGCGUUCUGUAAGCCUGUGAAGGUGUGCUGUGAGGCAUGCUGGAGGUAUCAGAAGUGCGAAUGCUGACAUAAGUAACGAUAAAGCGGGUGAAAAGCCCGCUCGCCGGAAGACCAAGGGUUCCUGUCCAACGUUAAUCGGGGCAGGGUGAGUCGACCCCUAAGGCGAGGCCGAAAGGCGUAGUCGAUGGGAAACAGGUUAAUAUUCCUGUACUUGGUGUUACUGCGAAGGGGGGACGGAGAAGGCUAUGUUGGCCGGGCGACGGUUGUCCCGGUUUAAGCGUGUAGGCUGGUUUUCCAGGCAAAUCCGGAAAAUCAAGGCUGAGGCGUGAUGACGAGGCACUACGGUGCUGAAGCAACAAAUGCCCUGCUUCCAGGAAAAGCCUCUAAGCAUCAGGUAACAUCAAAUCGUACCCCAAACCGACACAGGUGGUCAGGUAGAGAAUACCAAGGCGCUUGAGAGAACUCGGGUGAAGGAACUAGGCAAAAUGGUGCCGUAACUUCGGGAGAAGGCACGCUGAUAUGUAGGUGAAGUCCCUCGCGGAUGGAGCUGAAAUCAGUCGAAGAUACCAGCUGGCUGCAACUGUUUAUUAAAAACACAGCACUGUGCAAACACGAAAGUGGACGUAUACGGUGUGACGCCUGCCCGGUGCCGGAAGGUUAAUUGAUGGGGUCAGCGCAAGCGAAGCUCUUGAUCGAAGCCCCGGUAAACGGCGGCCGUAACUAUAACGGUCCUAAGGUAGCGAAAUUCCUUGUCGGGUAAGUUCCGACCUGCACGAAUGGCGUAAUGAUGGCCAGGCUGUCUCCACCCGAGACUCAGUGAAAUUGAACUCGCUGUGAAGAUGCAGUGUACCCGCGGCAAGACGGAAAGACCCCGUGAACCUUUACUAUAGCUUGACACUGAACAUUGAGCCUUGAUGUGUAGGAUAGGUGGGAGGCUUAGAAGUGUGGACGCCAGUCUGCAUGGAGCCGACCUUGAAAUACCACCCUUUAAUGUUUGAUGUUCUAACGUUGACCCGUAAUCCGGGUUGCGGACAGUGUCUGGUGGGUAGUUUGACUGGGGCGGUCUCCUCCUAAAGAGUAACGGAGGAGCACGAAGGUUGGCUAAUCCUGGUCGGACAUCAGGAGGUUAGUGCAAUGGCAUAAGCCAGCUUGACUGCGAGCGUGACGGCGCGAGCAGGUGCGAAAGCAGGUCAUAGUGAUCCGGUGGUUCUGAAUGGAAGGGCCAUCGCUCAACGGAUAAAAGGUACUCCGGGGAUAACAGGCUGAUACCGCCCAAGAGUUCAUAUCGACGGCGGUGUUUGGCACCUCGAUGUCGGCUCAUCACAUCCUGGGGCUGAAGUAGGUCCCAAGGGUAUGGCUGUUCGCCAUUUAAAGUGGUACGCGAGCUGGGUUUAGAACGUCGUGAGACAGUUCGGUCCCUAUCUGCCGUGGGCGCUGGAGAACUGAGGGGGGCUGCUCCUAGUACGAGAGGACCGGAGUGGACGCAUCACUGGUGUUCGGGUUGUCAUGCCAAUGGCACUGC